GAGCCAAGUGGCAUGGAAGAGCUGAAAACAGAAACUUUGCAGCCCUGCUGCCAAAGCUCCUAAUUACACUCUAGGAUCCACGUAGUCGCUCCUGUUUAUGAAGUGUUUCUUAUGUGUCUGGCGUUUUCACGGAGGUUAUUUUACUUAAUUCCAUCUUCUACCCAGAGCUCACUCCCCCAGGGUCCAUCUUCAAGCCCUGCUGAGUGUUCUCAUUCUGCAAGCAACUACAAACUACAGCUCGUGGGANAGAAUUAAAAAAAAAAAAAAAAAAAAAAAAAAAAAAAAAAAAAAAAUCAUUGGAAACCAAAUUUAAAGUGCAGCACGGAGUUUAUGGGCAGAAACUGCAGAUCGCACAAACAAAACAUGACCGUGAUGAAGAUUUUCUGGAUAACUGAUUUAAUGCAGAUUUCCUCCUUGUUCC
rnacentral:lncRNA from 1 species